rnacentral:rRNA from 1 species
UACGUAAGGAGCAAGCGUUGUCCGGAAUUACUGGGCGUAAAGAGCUCGUAGGUGGUUUGUCACGUCGUCUGUGAAAUUCCGGGGCUUAACCUCGGGCGUGCAGGCGAUACGGGCAAUACUUGAGUGCUGUAGGGGAGACUGGAAUUCCUGGUGUAGCGGUGAAAUGCGCAGAUAUCAGGAGGAACACCGAUGGCGAAGGCAGGUCUCUGGGCCACCACUGACGCUGAGAAGCGAAAGCAUGGGGAGCGAACAGGAUUAGAUA